rfam:Triticum urartu cultivar G1812 contig368259, whole genome shotgun sequence.
CAAAUACUCCCUCCGUCCGGAAAUACUUGUCAUCAAAAUGGAUAAAAGGAAAUGCAUCUAGACGUAUUUUAGUUUUAGAUACAUAUCUUUUUAUACAUUUUGAUGACAAGUAUUUUCGGACGGAGGGAGUAGAAA